rnacentral:tRNA from 1 species
GCCGGGGUCGCCUAGCCUGGUCCAGGGCGACACGCGAAAUAGCGCGCUAGGGGUUGCUAACCCGUUGGCCGUGAAGGCCGCCCGGGUUCGAAUCCCGGCCCCGGCGCCA